rnacentral:lncRNA from 1 species
GAUUCUUUGGCACAGAUCAAUUUUAUUAUGGAUGGAGCCACAGUGGAACCACAUUAGAAAAGUAUAUUGUUACAACACUUUCAAUAUCAACAAUGCUACUUGGAAAGUAAUAAUGUGUUCCAGAUGGCUAGAAAGAAUGACUGUCCAUUUUAAAAUGAUUUUUUUAUUGUUGUUUAGAUGAUUUAUUUUGAUAAAAUUUCAGAUAAUUUGGAUUUCUCUCAAAUGGUCAGUAAACGUGAAGAUAAGGUUUUUCACAGAGCAUGAGAUAAGGUUAUUCUAAAAGGCUACUUUCAUAUAAUUUGAUUAGAUAGAGUUUCAUACCAGUCUUAUUUCUUUCAUCUGAAGUAUUGCAGCUAAUUUUGCUUUGUGAAAGCAGACAUUGAAACUGCUUGGUUAUGUCCAGGGUUUUUCCACACCACUGACAAGCAAUGGGACUGCAGUUACCUGUCUGUAAGUGUGUGUAAUAACAGCCACUGAUGUAGCAGGUGAGAUUUUGAGAGGCUCCAAUGAAAUUUAUCUCAAUUUGUUAUAUAUAGCACAUGAAUUGGAGCUAAGCUACUGAAACUGAAAUAAAAAAAAGAUAUUUUAAAUCUGUCUUUGCUCUUGUAGUGAACACAUUUGAGGGAAGUUUAGGUGCUAUUAGGUGAAGUUAAAGUCAUUGUAAGUUCACAGGGGUAUGUUUUUUUUUUUUUUACAGGUUCCAAAUCACCAUGCUCCUUCAUUGUCCUGGUGCACCAAUACCUGUGAAAGUCUGUGUAACAUUGAUGGGGCCAUACCUUGUAAGUCCUUCCCAUCGCUUAUGUUCUUCUGUACCAAGUUAUCCUGCAAACAAGGAACAGCAGAUAAUGCAAAGCUAACAGUAUCCCUGGACAGAGCAGGAUACUCCUCCACUUUGUCUCUCUGAUACUGCAACCUGGAGACAAGUCACUUCUCUAAUGAGGC